rnacentral:tRNA from 1 species
CUCCUCGUAGCACAAUGGACAGUGCACACGCCUCCUAAGCGUGGGAUACAGGUUCGAUUCCUGUCGAGGGGG